UACAGAGGGUGCAAGCGUUAAUCGGAAUUACUGGGCGUAAAGCGUGCGUAGACGGUUAUCUAAGUCGGGUGUGAAAGCCCGGGCUCAACCUGGGAAUUGCAUUCGAUACUGGAUAGCUAGAGUUCGGCAGAGGGAAGUGGAAUUUCCGGUGUAGCGGUGAAAUGCGUAGAUAUCGGAAGGAACAUCAGUGGCGAAAGCGACUUCCUGGACCAGAACUGACGUUCAGGCACGAAAGCGUGGGGAGCAAACAGG
rnacentral:rRNA from 1 species